UCAAGAAUCUUCCACAAUGGCCGAAAGGCUGAUGGAGCGACGCCGCGUGUAUGAAGACGCCCCUCGGGGUGUAAAGUACUUUUUUUAGGGAAGAAACAAUGACGGUACCUAAAGAAUAAGGGGCUGCUAACCUCGUGCCAGCAGCAGCGGUAAUACGAGGGCCCCAAGCGUUAUCCGGAUUUAUUGGGCGUAAAGGGUGUGUAGGCGGUUUGUCACAUCUUCUGUUAAAUCUGCGGGCCCAACCCGUAGGCUGCGGGAGAGAUGGACAGACUGGAGUUCGGGAGAGGCACAUGGAAUUGCUGGUGUAGGGGUUAAAUCCGUUAAUAUCAGCAGGAACACCAAAUGCGUAGGCAGUGUGCUGGAACGAUACUGACGCUGAAACACGAAAGCGUGGGGAGCG
rnacentral:rRNA from 1 species